AGAAUGUCGCGGUGAAUACGUUCCCGGGCCUUGUACACACCGCCCGUCACACCAUGAGAGCUGGUAACACCCGAAGUCCGUGAGGCAACCGUAAGGAGCCAGCGGCCGAAGGUGGGAUUAGUGAUUGGGGUGAAGUCGUAACAAGGUAGCCGUAGGAGAACCUGCGGCUGGAUCACCUCCUUU
rfam:Clostridium sp. IEH 97212 scaffold_99, whole genome shotgun sequence.